AGCCACCCGGGAUGUCCGGGCAAAGCUCCAAGUAGCAUGAUGCGCUUAACACCGGGCGUACCCCUGACCCCGGCAGGGAAUAUAGCGUUACCAAACCUCCUUUACCAGACACAUUCGUUCUUGAACAACACUACUGAAUCGUUACCUUAACCAACUAAGGUUCGACAACCAAGUGUAGAACUCCCCAACACCUGCCCGAAGGCACUCACCAGUUCCCCAAUCCAAAUUGCCCCAAGCCUCCGAGAAGGCCACCGCAAGCAAACUCACUGCAAAAGUAGGGUAAUACGCCACCAGGCGUUGCGUUACCCAAGG